UGUUCUGCUAACAAAGUUAUGUCGUUCAAGGCGGCAUGGAGGAUGGUAGAGCUGUGUAGCUGAACAGAGGGGAAGAGAAGCAUCUUUCGUUGCUGACGAAUGUCAUAACCAAUUAUCAUGAUCGCAAUGAUUUGACUAGCACUACCGCUCAUCACUAGUAUUUUACAACUUCAUUAGAACAUCUGUCAACGAUGGAAACCAAGAAGCACAGAGUGUAUAAGGUCGUCCUCACCGGAGGACCCUGCGGUGGGAAAACUACCGGGCAAUCACGUCUGUGCACGUUUUUUGAAAAUAUGGGAUGGAAGGUAUUUAGAGUACCAGAAACAGCAACAGUUCUUUUGAGUGGUGGGAUAAAAUUCACAGAUCUCUCAGCACAAGAGGCAUUCAAAUUCCAGGAAAAUCUUCUGAAAACCAUGCUGCAGAUAGAAAAUACUUUCUUUGCUCUUGGAGAAUCCUGUAGUAGAGAUUGCUUGAUUAUCUGUGAUAGAGGUGCCAUGGAUGCUUCAGCCUUUAUAUCAAAGGAAAAAUGGGAAAGGAUGAUGUCAUCAAAUGCUUGGAAUUCAGUCGAAUUAAGAGACAAUCGUUACAAUCAGAUUAUCCACAUGGUUUCAGCUGCUAAUGGUGCUGAAGACUUUUAUUCAACAGAGGAUCAUGCAUGUCGCAGUGAGGGUAUAGAUUUAGCACGAGAUUUGGAUUAUAAAGCAGCAGCUGCAUGGGUCGGACAUCCGUAUUUUGAUGUUAUUGAUAAUUCUACAGAUUUUGAAAUGAAGAUCUGCAGGAUGAUUGAUAGUGUGUGCCAAAAACUGGGUAUUGAUACUGGUGAUCGUCUUCGAACAAAUUCAAGAAAGCUUAAAUUUUUGGUUGGGAGCUUGCCGCCUGAUUCACUUUUUCCACCUUUUCAAGAUUUUGAUGUUGUGCACAAUUAUUUACAGACAAACACACCCAGUAUGCAAGCUCGUCUAAGGAAAAGAGGCCAAAAUGGUCACUGGAGCUACAUACACACAAUCCGAAAGCCAAAGAUUCGUGACCAGAUUGUGGAAGUGAGAACUCAGCUCACUCACAGAGACUAUAUAAAUAUGUUGGCCCAAAAAGAUGACUCACAUUUCACAAUUUUCAAGAAAAGGAGAUGUUUCCUUGUUAAUAACCAAUAUUUCCAGCUAGAUAUUUACAAAGAGCCAUGUCAUCCAAGGUGUAAAGGUCUUGUCCUGCUUGAAACAUACACAAGUGCUGAUGAUAGUGAACUACACAGAAUUCUCCCUCAGUUCCUGACCAUCAUAAAAGAAGUCACGGGCAAUCCUAAUUUUUCCAUGUUCAAUCUCUCCCUACGUGAAGAAUGGGAUACUACAAAGAAAUUCUGUCACUCAUUGCAAGGUACUGUAGAUGAAGCAACUGGAGACAUACAAAAAAAUGGUCAGAAAGAGCCUCAGCUAGUAAAUGGAGUAUAAAAACUGCUGAUGUAAUGGGAACUGAUAACUGUCUAGGAAGUAAAAACGUUUGACUCAAUUUCACAAGUCAUACUCGAUGUUUUCGGGUGCUCUGCUCAGUGGAUUUGGAGUAAAGCUCUGUACAGGAUAAGUAAAUGUGCCAAUGGCUGCCAUUUUGGGCCCACUGCGCAGCUGGUGAUAUAUUGACUUCUGCAGCAUAUUUAGCCAUGUACAUAUUAAAGAAGUGCACUCACCCAUCUAAUGCACUACUGAAACUUCAAACGGAACAUGUCAGAUAUUAGCUACAAAAAUAUCUCAACAAAUUUAAGCUAAAUGAAUUGUAAAGUACUUGUUAUGGUGAGCAUGAAACACAGUUCUUUCUUUGCUAUUCUUUAUUAAUAGCAAAAGCAGAUUUCUUAGUUCUUGUUGAGGUAUUGAGUUUGAACACAUGUUUUCGUAAUUAGUGUUAAACUGGUCCUAUCCAAUAGUCAACAGAACAGAAGUGAACCAAUAUUAGUUUGCAAGUACAUGGAAAAACCCAAUGCUAAUUUAAAGCUUUAUAUCGACUUACUUCUUGUUCCUGCUACUCGGUACUACAAAAAUCCGCCCAAUGCCUCUUUUGUUAUACGAAAUAAAGCACUGGAUUCAAAUA